AGGUUUCCCACGCAACGGUCAUCGGCGUGGGGUUAGUCGGUCCUAAGGCCAGGCCGAAAGGCGUAACCGAUGGACAACAGGUUAAUAUUCCUGUACAACCUAAUUUUCGUCCAAGCAAGACUGGAGAGAGGUGGAAGACGACUUUUGAAGGCUUCGGCUGGAGAAAGAAGACUUUUUCUGAUCGAAAGUGGCGCUAACUCAGUGGUAACGCGGAAGGAUAUCCAGAGCGUGUUAAUGAAUUCACGUGCAAGCUGUUAGUUUAUGCUUCUUGAGGUAAAUCCCUUGAGGUUCGCGAGCAGCGAUGCAAAAUACCUUCUCUUUGAGAGGGUGAUUCUGGAGAGUUCAUCUGACGAGAAAAACCACGGUAGUGAGAAAGUUAGGUUACCGUACCGCAAACCAACGCUGGUGGGUUCCCUGAGAAUGGGAAGGUGAUCGAGUAACCUGCUGCUAAGGAACUCGGCAAAAUAACGGGUGUAACUUCGGGAUAAACCCUGCCCCCCUUAACUGGGAGGGCCGCAGUAAAAGAUUCCAUGCAACUGUUUAUCAAAAACACAGGUCUCUGCUAAGUCGCAAGACUAAGUAUAGGGGCUGACGCCUGCCCAGUGCCAGAAGGUCACGAGGAGAGGUUAACGCCUUGAAUCUAAGCCCUGGUGAACGGCGGCGAUAACUAUGAUGUGACGAUUGUAGUUGUAAAAUUUGGCUAUAUGCUGGAAUAUCCUGUAAAAUAUCAAAGUACUAGGCCUAUUGAUGGGUCAGUGAAAAUCUUUGGUUGGAUCCUAGUAAGUAGGACGCAGGACAAUCAGCAGGAAAGAAUCUUGUAAGAUAUAGAAUAUGAAUAAUGAUCAAUGGUUAUCAUCUGUAAACCCGGAAAUUGGAUAUUAUUUUACUGGAUUUGCAGAUGGAGAAGGUAGUUUCAAUGUUUCUCUUAGAAAAAGAAUAGAUCAUAACAAGAUAAUCCUCAGAGACUAUACGCCAAACCGCGUGUAUUUAGAGAAGAAUCUACGCGGAUGAUAUAGUCCGAUCUCUAUGGAGACAUAGAGCUUCGAUUUUUAUCGAAGCGCCCCGAUUGGGGUGAACAUUAAUGAAUCGUCCUAAGGUAGCGAAAUUCCUUGUCGGGUAAGUUCCGACCCGCACGAAUGGCGUAAUGAUAUGGAAACUGUCUCGGCAGCAGACUCGGUGAAAUUACAGAACUGGUAAAAAUGCCAGUUAACUAUGGAAAGACGAAAAGACCCCGUGAAGCUUUACUACAGCUUGACAUUGGUUUUGAGCAUGACUUGUGCAGGAUAGAUGGGAGACUUUGAAGCUUCGACGUCAGUCGGAGUGGAGUCACCGUUGAGAUACCAUCCUUGUUAUGCUUAGGAUCUAACUGGAGCCGUUAAUCCGGCUUUAGGACAGUGUUUGGUAGGUAGUUUGACUGGGGCGGUCGCCUCCUAAAGAGUAACGGAGGCGCGCAAUGGUUCCCUAACCCUGGAUGGAAAUCAGGGUGAUAGUGUAAUCGCGCAAGGGAGCUUAACUGCAAGACAUACAAGUCGAGCAGAUGCGAAAGCAGGUGAUAGUGAUCCGAUAGUUGCAUGUGGGUGCGCUAUCGCUCAACGGAUAAAAGCUACUCCGGGGAUAACAGGCUUAUCGGUCCCAAGAGUUCAUAUCGACGGACCGGUUUGGCACCUCGAUGUCGGCUCAUCGCAUCCUGGAGCUGGAGAAGGUUCCAAGGUGGAGAAGGUUCCAAGGGUUUGGCUGUUCGCCAAUUAAAGCGGUACGCGAGCUGGGUUCAGACCGUCGUGAGACAGGUCGGUCUCUAUCUUCCAUGGUCGUAGGAUUUUUGAGGGAUGCUGUUCCUAGUAAAAGUUGCUACAUUCUGCAGAAAUGCAGAAACGAAAAACUUGCCCAAAUCGGUGAAAUCCUUUACUGUAAAAAAAGGCCGCGGUCCUGGGGCCGUAAAGGACAAUACCGAGGGAAGAUCAAUAAUAUGAUUGAUACUGAAAAAGCUUAUAUUGCAGGAUUUCUUGAUGGAGAUGGUAGUAUCAUGCUUCAGCUAAAACCUAGAGCUGAUAUGAAAUUUCUGUUUAGAGUUAAAACUGUUAUUGUUUUAUAUCAAGAUUCUGCACAUGUAGGUGUUUUAAGAAAAUUGAAAACGAUUAUUGGUGCUGGAUACGUAUACGAAAGGAAUGAUCGCAUGAGUGAGUUGCGUGUUGAAGGUUUUCAACAAGUGCAACAUUUUCUAUCUAAAAUUAAGCCUUAUGUAAGGUUUAAAGUAAGACAGGUUGAAUGCAUGUUAAGUGCUUUGGCUGUCUUGCGGCGCAAAUAUACUAUUGAAGAAUUUUUAUAUCUUUGCGAAUUAUCAGAUAGAAUAUCCGAAUGUAAUUAUUCCAGUAAACGUAGAAAGUACACAAAACAAACUGUAAUUGAAAUUCUUAAAAAAAAUCGUAUUUUGGUCCCCGUAACGACUGGAUCUUCUCCAAAUGGAGGAGUGAAGAUGGCUAAAUUAAAAUCUAGCCAUAAUACGGUAAGCAUCUAACUCUCUGCUGAAUAAGUGGAGAUAUGAUGAAGGUAUAGUCUACACCUUUGGUAACAAAGGAUUAUGUGACGAGAGGACCGGAAUGGACAAACCUCUGGUGUAUCUGUUGUCGCGUCAGCGGCAUUGCAGAGUAGCCAUGUUUGGAGAGAUAACCGCUGAAAGCAUCUAAGUGGGAAGCUCUUCCCAAGAUUAAAGAUCCCAAUUAGCCUCCCUGAAGACUACAGGGUUGAUAGGCCACAGAUGUAAGCACAGUGAUGUGUUGAGUCGAGUGGUACUAACAGGCGAUUGACUUAUUUCA
rnacentral:rRNA from 1 species